rnacentral:rRNA from 1 species
UGAACGCUGGCGGCAGGCCUAACACAUGCAAGUCGAGCGGUAACAUUUCUAGCUUGCUAGAAGAUGACGAGCGGCGGACGGGUGAGUAACGCGUAGGAAUCUGCCCGGUAGCGGGGGAUAGCCCAGAGAAAUUUGGAUUAAUACCGCAUACGCCCUAAGGGGGAAAGGAGGGGACUCUUCGGAGCCUUCCACUAUCGGAUGAGCCUGCGUCGGAUUAGCUUGUUGGUGGGGUAAUGGCCUACCAAGGCGACGAUCCGUAGCUGGUCUGAGAGGAUGAUCAGCCACACCGGAACUGAGACACGGUCCGGACUCCUACGGGAGGCAGCAGUGGGGAAUAUUGCACAAUGGGCGCAAGCCUGAUGCAGCCAUGCCGCGUGUGUGAAGAAGGCCUUCGGGUUGUAAAGCACUUUCAGCGAGGAGGAAAGGUUGAGUCUUAAUACGGCUCAGCUGUGACGUUACUCGCAGAAGAAGCACCGGCUAACUCC